rnacentral:rRNA from 1 species
AUUGAACGCUGGCGGCAUGCUUUACACAUGCAAGUCGAACGGCAGCGCGGGCUUCGGCCUGGCGGCGAGUGGCGAACGGGUGAGUAAUGCAUCGGAACGUGCCCAGUAGUGGGGGAUAGCCCGGCGAAAGCCGGAUUAAUACCGCAUACGACCUGAGGGUGAAAGCGGGGGACCGAAAGGCCUCGCGCUAUUGGAGCGGCCGAUGUCGGAUUAGCUAGUUGGUGGGGUAAAGGCUUACCAAGGCGACGAUCCGUAGCUGGUCUGAGAGGACGACCAGCCAACCGGGAACUGAGACACGGCCCAGACCCCUACGGGAGGAGGCAGUGGGGAAUUUUGGACAAGGGGGGAAACCUUGACCGAGCAAGGCCGCGGGAGGGAAGAAGGCCUUCGGGUUGUAAAACGUUUUUGUUGGGGAAGAACACCUGUGGGAAAAACCCCGGGGGGGAUGACGGUACCGAAAGAAAAAGCACCGGCUAACUACGUG